GUGAUGAGCUGUCCCUUAGCAGACCAGUGACGAGUUACGCCACAGGCUGA
rnacentral:snoRNA from 1 species